GACGCUCUGUCCGAGCUGCCGGUGCCUAGUGGGCCACUUCUGGUAAGCAGAACUGGCGCUGCGGGAUGAACCGACCUCGAGACAAGAGACUUUAAGGAAUAUUCCCAAGAAGCUGCCAAAACUCCCUUUGUUUCGGGGAAUUCCUUGCCUUUUCUGGCCUAGCAUGGACUGCCUAGCCCCACCCCUUGCUGGCGGGGAAU